UACGUAGGUGACAAGCGUUGUCCGGAUUUACUGGGCGUAAAGAGCGCGCAGGCGGUCGUUCAAGUCGAGUGUGAAAGCCCCCGGCUCAACCGGGGAGGGUCAUUCGAUACUGAUCGACUCGAAGGCAGGAGAGGGAAGUGGAAUUCCCGGUGUAGUGGUGAAAUGCGUAGAUAUCGGGAGGAACACCAGUGGCGAAGGCGACUUCCUGGCCUGUUCUUGACGCUGAGGCGCGAAAGCUAGGGGAGCAAACGGG
rnacentral:rRNA from 1 species